rnacentral:lncRNA from 1 species
GUUUCAAAGAAACAUUUCUCAUUUUAUCACUUUUUUUUUUUUUUUAAAGAACACUUGUUUUCUCUGUCCCUACUAGUAAUAUGAAUGACCUAAAUGGCAAUUAAUUUUCUUUGUAAUGCAAUUAAAUUGUAGCACUAUUUUCCUCAACUCCUCCAAAAUUCAUUCAGUCAUCAUCUGUGGUUUGUACUCUUUUUACUCAUCCCCGGGUACUAUGUUAGUUCAUGCCUGUGUCAUCUUUUCUGUUCCUAACCUAGAUCAUCUGUCUUCAUUCUCCAUUUUUUUAUAUUUUUUAUAUAACUUAUUUCAAAUUCUUAGUAGUUUUCUCUAUAGCCGCUUGAGUGGACUUUCUAAAAUGUAAGUCUGUCCAAGUCAAUAUGUGCCUGUGGUUUAUGAAGAAUUUGCUUUCUAUUUGAUGACCUGUUCUUUUUUUCUUCCUUGUAUCUUUUUAAUAGUUUAAAUAUUUUUAAUUAUUUUCCUCAUCCCCUGUAUAAGCUUGAUGUAAUCAUAAAUUAUAAUGGAAUUAUAAUUAUAUAAUUAUAAUUUUAUUCAUCUUCUCAUAAUUUAAAGGCCAUGGUAUAUAUUCUGGAUUUAAUAAAAACCUGACAUAGAUUAAUAGGUUUAUUAUUUUUUUUAUGGGCUUUAAGUAGCUCCUGAAUCAGAUAACUGUUGUGGCAUUGUAUGUUAGUACUUCAUAUACUGUGAACUCCACAAGACAUUCAUUCAAUUUAUACACAUAUUUAAAGUUUCUGUAGUUCUGCAUUCUACACUGUUUGUUUCUUAUUUGAAAUUAUUUUCAUUCUAUUUGAACAUUGUCCUUUAAUGAUAGAUUUGAUUAGUGUAUCAAAGUAGUACAAGGAUAAACAGAGAAUAGUAUUUUAUCCACUAAAUAUUGCUACCUUUAUAAUCUGUAUUAGGUUGACAUGAACUUCAUGAUUAGAGUUAAAAACAGUUUCCAUUUUUAAAGGAUCUUUCUUUUGGCUACUGAAUUUUGACUGUUACUUAGUUUUAGCAAUUUAAAAAUAUCCAAUUAAUUACCAUCUGUUUUAAAUUUUUUCUUUAAGGAGUCCAUUAUCACUGUUGUUUGGUCUUAUCCCUCCCCUAGUUCCUGUAGUCAUUUCUCUGUUUUUUUAACCAUUGUAUUGGGAAGUGCCUAGGUGUAGUUUUCCCCACCCCACCCACUUUUUCCUCUUGCAGUUAUGUUGCUUGGGACCAUUAAACAUUUCUUGAAUUUUCGAGUCUUUUUCUAAAUGUUGAUUUUACCUCAUUCUCUCUUCUGAUUAUAAUAAUGCAUAUUAGAAUUUGAUUUCCCCUGCCUCCUACAUUCUGGAUUUACUUCUUCUGGAUAUUUUCUUCUGACCUGUCUCAAAAGUGCUAGGAUUUAUUUUACUUCCCAAAUCUGCUGCUAAAAUCAUUCAUUGAGUUUAGGAUUUUAAAAAAAUCAGGGUUCAAAAUAUUAUUUUAGUUGUAGAUGGACACAGUAUUUUAUUUUAUUUUUAUAGGAUUUUUUUAAGAGAGAGAGAAAGAGAGAAUUUUAAUAUUUAUUUUUUAGUUUUUGGCGGACACAACAUCUUUGUAUGUGGUGCCGAGGAUUGAACCCGGGCCGCAUGCAUACCAGGCGAGCGCGAUACCGCUUGAGCCACAUCCCCAGCCCGACACAAUAUUUUAUUUAUUUUAUGUGGUGUUGAGGACUGAUCCCAGUGCCCCACACAUGUGGGGCACGUGCUUCACCCAUGAGCCACAAUCCCAGUCCUAUUUCAGUACUGCAGCUCAAACCCAGGACCUUGAGCCAUAUGCUCUACUAUUGAGCUACCUCCCCAGACUCCUUGCUCUUUCUCAUAAGGGACUAGGGUCUUACUGCUUUCCAAGCUGUCUUUAAUCUCAUCAUUCUGCCUCUGCCUCCUGAGUAUCUUCCACUGUAGGUAGGUCACCACACCCAACUAUUUCUUGGUUUUAUAGUUUCUAAUCCUUUGACAAAAUUCAUAAUCUUUUUUUUCCCCUCUUUUGUGGUGCUGGGGUUUGAACCCAGAGCCUUGUGCAUGCGAGGCAGCACUCUACCAACUAAACUAUAUUCCCAGCCCUGAAAUUCAUAAUCUUGACUUUACUUUUUUGACUAUAUAAAAAGCACAGUGAUUUUAAAACAUGUGCGGAUAACCCCAUUAGGUGGUUUCCUUUUCUGUGGGAUUUUUUCUCACAGAAUUUUGUCUUAUGGAGUGCCUGGUCAGUUUUGAUUGGCCAACAUUGUUGUGAUAAUUAUAGAUGAAAUUUGAGGACUAAGAUGAAGUUAUCUUCUUAUAGAAAAGUGUUGAGGUUACUUGAGUAAGAUUGUUACUUUAAACUUAGUCAGCAAUUAAGAUAAUUCAAAAAUGACUUGUCUUUUCAAUGUUUCAUUAUUGUUCCUUUUGGAUUUUUUGCCUGUUCAUCACUUAAGUGUGCAGUACUUUCUAAUCUAAACUCAAAGGCUAGGGCUUUUAUUAAGGGUCCCUUUAUUUGUAGCCCCAAACACUUCUUUUUUCCUCUAAGCCCAGGAAUUUGAUGAAGGCUUAGUUCAGUCUCAUUAUAUCUUUGUGUUAUCUUCAAUAUGUGGGUGAACCUAGGAGAAAAGUACCUUAAAGUGCCAGCCUUACUUGUAAUUCUGAGAUUCCCUUUUCUAAUGGAUCUUGGCCACAUACAUAUAUCUUCACUGCCUUUUUAGCUUGGAUCCCUUCAAACACAAUUUUAUAUUCUUAUAAAGAUGUUUUGAUUGUUCUUAGUGCUCUCAGACUAACUCUUUGAUAAUUGGAAACAAAAUUCUCUCUGUCCUUCAAGAUUCAGUUUUCUCCAUAUUCCUUCUUAAGCCAGUGGGGAAAAUUAUUAUAUUCCUUUAGGCAUCAUUUAUACCUGAAACAGUGAGCUCUUUUAUUCUUUAGCAUCUUACAAGAUAACUAGUAUAUUAUAGCCACUCAUAGAAUACUUGCUGAAGAAUUAAAUGAGAAGCUAUAUAAGAAUAUAUAAUCCCCUUUUUCUAUUUG